rnacentral:lncRNA from 10 species
GUUUGAGAAAAGAGGACACAAAAGCAUGAAUAACAGGAGGUAAGUUUCACUGAGGGCCUGUGGAUCAUCUGGGAGCUGUCUACCACCAAUAGUCAAAAGAAAAAAUUAGGAUGGAUAUAGAAUACCAGCAUCAGCAAGUGUACACGAUUUAAAGCACAUUUGGUAUCUAUUACCAAGCUGCCCUUCAGAGAGGUUGUCUCGUUACACAUUCCACAGCUGUGACUGAGAAACCGUCUUGUCGCAUUUGACAAUCCAGGUUACUAUCUAAAAACUUGAGUUUGUAAGAGCAACACGCCAUGAGAUAAUAUUCGUGCAAAUGUAACUGACAAAAGACUAACAUCCCAUAAUACUAGAGCACCUACAAACCAAGAAGAUAAACAUCCCAUUGGGAAAGUGUAAAAAUAUGAACAUAAAGUUUACAGAAGAAAAAACACAAAUGGCUCAUAAACACACAAAAAGAUGAUAUUGCUUCCUGGUAAUUGGGGAAAUGCAAACAAAAACUACAAUGAAAUAUCGUGGUAUCGUGUAUCAAAUUUGCAGAGCAUAAAAUAGAUUACAUUCGCAACCAGCAACUACAACCCAACCUUCAGCCUCACUGGACUUCUUGCCAUUCCCCAAACCAUAUCCACGCCCCUCUCCACAGGCUGUUCCUUCUGCCUGCAUGCCCUCGAUGGCACCAAGGGGGAUGGGCACACUAACACAACUGCUGGGAAUGGGAAAGUUUCAACCUCUUGGGAAUAAAAUCUAACAGUAUUUAUUGGAAUGUAACCUGUGCAUACUCCACAGCUGGGCCACUACCCUGCAAGAACCCCUCUGGCUGCUGCACAAAGCUCUUCUCUGCAUCCUUUUUUAUACUAGUGGAACCCUGGACACAGCCUGCAUAUGGAUCAAAAGGGCAGUGGUUAUAAAUAUACUAUGGUCCAUCUCUAGGCUAGACUGUGAUGCAGUGGUUAAAGCCAAGUAUUGCAGAAGAGUGAUUAAGCAUUCGUGCUCCAAAGCCAGAUAGCCUAGGUUUCAAUCCCAGCUUUGCCACUUACUUGCUGUGUGAUCUUGUGCAACUCACUUAGCCUUUCUGUGUCACAGUUUCUCCAUCUGUAUAACGGACGAUAACACUAGCCCCUACCUCAUAGGGUCAUUGUGAAGAGUAAAUGAAAUUAAUAUUGCCUAUGUCACAGAGUGAUCCUCCUCAAAAUCUAUUAGAUGAAAAAAGAAAUUUCUAGAAAUUAUCUACAUACAUAUUCUGAUGGGAUUUGUGUAAAGAAUUUAACCAACAAACCCAUAUUACACACACAUACACACACACUCACACAGACACACUCACACACACACACACGCACUCACGUGCGUAGAAGUAGAUCUAGGAAGAUCCAUGACACACAUGCGAGGCAGGUGAAUGGGGACAUUAAAAGGAGGACUUCCACGUUUAAUUCUGAAUGGUCUAUUUUAUUUGUGCAAUUUUUAAAAAUCAAAGCAAUAAAUCACUGUAAAAGAAACUAUUUCCGAGAGUGAUGCAUGCUCCUUGGGAAGCAUUGGGAAUUCUGCACUUCUGGGCCAGCCAGCUCCAACUGCAGCCAAUGUUUAAAAAAUAGCAUCUCUCCCUUCCUUCUAUAUGUACAGAUCUUCAGGGAUUUAGCAAAUUCUCUUAAAUAGCUAGAAGACCUUGCUGACUUCGAUGCAAAUAUUCUGGCCAGAGAACUGAGGUCCUUGGAUGAAACCCAAUAAUCAGAGGGGUCACAGUUUCCUUAGCCCAGGAGGAAGGCAGCUGGUGUCUCAGCAGAUGUUCCUAAAGGCCUGGCUUUUUCCACAUCUGUUCUGUGUGGUAGACAAGGAGAAGAGGAAGGGAGGAAGGGAACAGAGAGGAAGCAGAGAGAGCUGAAGAUUAAAACAAUACUGUACAGGUCCCCGCUAAAGAUGGACUCUCUGGCUGCCAGGAAAGGACUGAGAGAUAAAUAGGAGGAGCAUAAGAACCUGGGAGCUGGAGGCUGGUCCACCUCCCUCAGCUUCCAGGACCCAGAGGGAGGCAGGCACAGCCAGCCUUGGCCCUGUGGAACCAACACCUUCCAGCCAGGCUGCCAGGAAGCCAAAUUCCAAAUGUCUAAACUGUAUUUUGCACUUUUCCACAAGGUCAGCAAAAAUUAGAAAGUCAGCUAAUGCCAAGUGUUAGCUGGAGUAGGGGGGGAAGAGGAACCCUUGUUCUCUGCAAGGGAGUAUGAGAAGGUGCAGCCACUCCGGAGGCUGUCUGAUGGUGCUGGUUCAAGUCGACUGCGUAAGUCUUCUGCCCACAGCAAUGCCACUCCUCGGUAUGCGGCGCAGAGACACUUUUUGUCCAAAAGGGGCAUGUGGGGAGGUGCUCAUUCAGCAUUGUUUCUGGCAGGGGCGUUGGCCACUCAGGCACCCAUCCCUGGGGAAGACAGAAGUAAAUGUGGUGGGUGUACACCUUGGAGAAGCAUCUAUCAGUCAGAAGCAAGGAAGGGGAUGUCCACACAGAUUUAGGUAGCUUACGUUAGACACUAUGUUCAAAUUCAAGGACGCACAUCAGAUACACAGAAAGGCUGCCUGUGGGGGAAUUCGGACUGCAAGUGGAGAAUGGGGACUGUAGUGGAUUGAAGAUGGUCCCAAAUUCCUUGUCACUCCCUGCAUGGAGAGGUGAGGUGGGGUGCCCUGGGCAGGCUUGUGACUACUUGACCAACAGAAUACAGCAGAAGUGGUGCUUGUCAGUUUCCAGGCCUGGGCUUUUUAGAGGGUGGCAGUUCACUUCACCUCUCUUAGGACACUCUCUGGGAGCUUGAAGCUGCCAUGUAAUCAACUGCCCUAAUACCACCAGGUUGCUGAAACCAUGUUCAGGAGCUCUGUUUGUGGUCCUAGCUGAGCCCAGCCUUGCAGCCAGCCCCCACCAGCCAAUGUCACCAGACAUGUAAGUGAAGCCAUCCUGGGAUCUCUAGACCAGCCCAGCACACCUACAGGCUGAUUACCAUGGAGUGACCUCCGUUGGCACCACAUUCAUCAAGAGAAUCAACCAGCUGAGUCCUGCAAAUCCAAAUCCACACAACUGUAAUAUGAUAAAGUAUCUAACUUUGGGGGUAU